GUUCACGAGACAGACCCCUGUGCGUGCGCGUGCUCGUGAAUCAGGAAACAUGGCGGCGCUCACGUCACUCGGUCAGUUAUCAAGUGGAAACCCUGCAUAUGAGAGCUUCUACAGACAGGUGGAUCCGGGAAACACUGGGAAAGUGGGCGCCGCAGAAGCUGCUCAGUUCUUGAAGAAAUCAGGGCUUUCGGACAGCACAUUGGGACAGAUCUGGGAUCUGUCAGACCCGGAGAGAAAAGGUUACUUGGAUAAAAAGG